UAAACAUUCCAAGAAUGAAACAAAUCAUACUCAACAUAACUUUACAACAUAUCAAGUAUUAAGUAUUAUGUAAUAUCUUAUUAUUUCAUGAAAGAAAACUCUAGUUCCAAGAAGUUACAAUGAUCGUUUUUUAUUACAUCAUAAAAGAAACGUCAUUAUAAAGAGUUUGCAAAGAAAAGCUACAUGAAUAAAUGAAUUUUUCCAUUUCUAAAAUAAUAAAAGUUAUUACUAUAAUAGGAAGCUCCAAUUAGAUUAUAAAAUAUAAGUAAACUUUCAUUGCUGGUGGCAACUCCUGGUUCUUGUUCCUUUACUCUGGAAGAAUGUUCUUUACAGAUGAAGUUUCUAAGAUCACUUGUAAUGCUUAACAUAUAUUAUCAAAGAAAAAUAAAUAAAUAAAUAUUUCAAUUGCCUUUGUUUCUCUUCUUGAAAUUGUUUUUUGUUUUUAUUCUAAUUAGUUAAUGGAAUAAUACAUGAGCCUCCAAUCGAUUUGUCGAGAGAGUACGAGGCAUGGGUAUCAAAUUCGUUAAAGUUUGCCGUUGCGCACGCCGAAGAACCCAAUAGAAUGAUAUGUCUUGCUUGCGGUUUAUUGUUAUGGGAAACGGGUUGACGCAGUUCAGUUGGACAUCGCAUUCUACAUGAGGCAUGGAUUUGAUCGAAGUUAUAACAUGUUGAAUUUGGCAUGGUGAGAAAAGUACGAUGAAAUCGUUGAACCGGGGGAUUAUACGAACCUAUGCCUCAAACUAUAGUGGUGCGAUAAUACGAUUGUUGAUCGAGUUGAAGAGAUUGCAGAAGCACUUGGAAGGAGAUCUUAAGGAUUGUCCCGACAUGUUUGAGAGGUUUGUAAGUGAUGCAGAGAAACCCUUGUUAUGAUGGUUCACUAAAUUGCAGCAAGAUUGUCUGGCAGUAUUAGUUGUACAACUUAAAGGCGGGCAAUGGAUGUCGAAUAAAAGUUUCACAGGAGUUACUUUUAGGCCUUUUGAAAGAAUAUGCUCCUGGGAUAAAUGUUCCUUUCCCAAUCAAACAUAUGAGACCAAAAAAGAUGUGUGCUCUAUUGGCAUGAGCUAUGAAUUAAGAUACAUGCAUGUCCAAACGGAUUGCGUUUUGUUUCGAAUGAGUAUGCAUCGUUAAAUGAGUGUCGCCUAAAUGCGGUGUCUCGCGAAUAUAAGAACAAGUUGGUCUCCAGCAAAAGUCUUUGUGGUAUUUCCUGUUAUUCCGAAUUUUAGACGCAUGUUUCGUAGUGAAACCCGAUUCAAGACACUUGACCUGGCAUGUGCAGAUGAAAAGAAUUAUAGAUGGAAAGUAUCAGACAUCUCGGCAGAUCUCACCACAGUGCGUUGAAAAUUGAUAUAUGGAUUAUCUGAAUUUGGAUGAAGAAUCAGAAAACCUUCGCUUGGCAUUAUCUACUGAUGGAAUGAACCCACACGGUAUCCCAGGAGUUAUCUCACACAGUACAUAUGGCCUGUGAUAUUUAUGAUUUAUAACCUACCCUCCAAUGGCUAUGUAAUGAAGCGUAAGUACAUGAUGUUGUCUUAUGUUGAUUUUUGACCUAAACAACCAGGAGAAUGACAUAGACUUGUCACUUGAAGCCUUAAUCGAAGAUUUAAAAGAUUUUGUGGGAGAACCGGUGUGGAGGUUUUAUGAUGGAUAUAGGAAAGAAAAGUUUCAACUUGAGGGCGAUGUUGUUUGGGCACUAUUAAUGAUUUUCCAGCAUACGGAAAUCUAUCAGGGUUAUAGCAUAAAAGGUCAAUGUGCGUGUCCUAUUUGUGAAGAUAAAACAGAUUGGAUAGCGCUUGGAGUUUGGUCAGAAGAAUGUCUUUCUCGGUCAUUCGAGAUUCUUAAAUUCAAAUCAUCAACUACCGUUGGAUGGAGAAAGGCGUUCAAUGGAGAGACAGAACAAGGCAGAGCCCUCCACCUUAUUAUGACGGGAUCAAAUUUUUGAAAAGGUGAAAAGAUUUUGGUACUCAGUUUGGCCAGCCUUUUUGCCCACAACACUUGUCAAAAUGGGUGGAAGAGAGGUCUAGUUUUUUUUUGAAUUGCCGUAUUGGAGUCCUUGUAUGUGAGACAUUUUCUUUGAUGUUAUGCAUAUGAAAAAAAAUGGUAUUUGAAAGUGUUAUUGCACGUUUAAACUCAAUAUACAAGGAAAGUCUCAAGGAAUGGCCUUAAGGCACCAGAAAAGGAAUUUGAAUGGCGAUGGGAAUAAGAACUGAAAUUAGACCCUUUGAGAAAGGAAGACGAAAAAUAUCUACCGCCUGCUGCUUAUACUUCUAUUACUAGAAAGGAGAAAAACAUAUGUGUAAGUUUCUAAGUGAAGUUAAAAGUUCCAGGAAGGGUACUCUUCAGAUAUUAGAAGACUUGUGUUCUAUGAAAGAACGCGUCAAGUUAAAGAGUUUAAAGACCGCGGCAUGAUUGCCAUGUAAAAUAAUGGAACAUUUUCCUCCAACUAGGUAUUCGUUCUAUUCUUCCAGAAAAAGUAGAAGCUCUAUAAACUAAGUUGUGUUCUUUCUUCAAGUCAAUUUGCAGUAAGCGUGAUCAAUCCUGCCGAUCUUACCAAAUGUUGCAAAAAGAAAUCGUUAUUACUUUGUAUGAGGCUUGAAAUGUUUUUUCCUCCAUCAUUUUUUUUGACAUAAUGGUCACAUACUAGUUGUUCAUCUUGUGAAAGAGACACAUUGUGUGGACCAGCUUAUAUGAGAUGGAUGUACGCCCUAUUGAACGUCAUAUGAAAAUAUUAAAAAGGGUACGUGAAGAAACGCGAAGUCGACCAGAAGGUUGUAUGGUUGAAAGAUACAUUGUUUGAAGAAGCGAUUGUUAGCUUUGUAGCUUGAAUAUUUGUCUAAUGUUCAGUCAUCUCGACUCGCCUAAGUCCUCAAACUUGUCGAAAAGGAAAGAAGGAAAAAAUCUAAUUGGAAAUAAAAUCGUGGCCGUAUCAAAGGGUGCGAAACGGGAGAUCACAGUGCAUUUGUAUGUUCUGCACAAGGAGAAUGAGGUCUGAGCCGUAGUGUUGAAAUUCACAAGGAUGUUGCUCUGAGGUUUUAAAUCCCAAUAGACAUGAAAAUUGAUAGUACGGAGAGCACAAUCCGAUGUUUUACUACCUGGUUUAAGGUUAUCAUAUUUAUUCAAAAGUAUUAUUCAGAUCCCGCUUCAAUACAGAAACGUUUGAGAUGCUAGCAUAUGGGUCCAAGUUUCCAGUGUUUUUUCUUACUAGCGCAUACGCGAUUAAUGGAUUACACAUUUUUUUAUACCAAAGAAACAAGAUAUGAUAAAAGUACUUGCAAAACAGUGGUGUCACCGUGGUAUUCUGAAGCAAUAGCACAUAUCAAGUUGAUGAAAGGAACUUAAACCCCAAAUUUGCAAAUCUGUCAGUAUUUUUGGUGUUAUCCGAGCGCAUUUGGGUGUUGAUUAUGAGAAGUUUUCAGAUCCUUUAUAUUUGGUUGCAAGUGGGUUGAAAACAAUAACGGAUUAUCGAAUGGAUAAGUCAGGAUUUUUUGCAAAGUGGAUAUUUAAUAGGGUGGGAUACACAAAGAUGAGGUCUUUUAUUCUAGUCUCUUCAAGCUUAGACAAGUGUUCUAUGUCAAUGAUCCGAAAAGUACGAAAUGGUCUAUAGUUACUUUUUUCCAAACAAAGUAAUUGAUGAAAACACUGGAGAUCAAGGUGAUAUUGAUGUUGGAUUGAGUCGUUUUACCAGAAAAUGAUCAAGAUCGAGAAUAUUAUAUCAAAUGAUUCAUAUUAGAAUGAUCUAAUGAGGGUAUUGGAUCAAUUCCAACCGUCCGUGUUGUUAAGAGACAUGUAGGAACAUAUUCCAAACCAGAAAAGGAAAGAGAACUUAGUCGAAAAGGUACAGCGUCAAAUGAUUUUAAUUGUUUCUUUAUUACAGUAAAAAUGACUUUUAUGAUUUAAUUGUUUUUACAUUUUCAUGCUGAUUUUAAUUGUUUUCUUUAUUACAGGUAAAAUGGCUAUUAUGAAGUCAAUCAUUCGUGCAAGGGCAAGGAUACUUGAAAGUAUCAAUGAUAUUUGUUUAGAUGGAGAUGUUUCCAUUGUCGUCAAGCCUCAUUCGCGUAGAUGAUGAUGCUGGAUAUUUGAAGUAUCCCUCUACGACAAUGGAACAUGUCCAUCUAAACAAUAUUCAAUUCUAUCUUCAAAGAUAAGGACCAAAAAUAUAAGGGGAUUACGCAGCAAUCGAGUCAGUUGCAUAAAAAAAAAGGUAUAAACACAAUUAUAUGAUAUUUAUGCAUAGAAAUGUUAAUUCUUGAUCUUAUACAUCACCUACUAAUUUUAUGAUAUUUUAGGUUCAUGCUAUUGAUAUUGAACAAAAGAGGUUGUUGCUAAGAAGACUGCUGCUAGCAAAAAAAACAUACAUCUCAGAGAUGCUUUUUGCUACUUAGUUUUAUUUCUUUUUAAGUUAUGAAUUGGUUGUAUAUUUAGAAUCUUUAGAAGUUAAACGAUUAUGUAUCAUGGAUGUUGUAUAUGUAUGGAUUGUUGAUAUUAAGGCUUGUUGAAUGCAAUGUGUGAAAAAGGGCUUCAAAUUAUACAGUUUUGGUGUACUGCUUCAAUAUACAGGUUGUCUAAAAUAAAUAAAAAAAUAUAGCGCUUUUUAAAAAAAAAAAUUAAAUAACCACCCACUUUAGAGGGCGCUUCCCAAAUAAAGCGCCCUCUAACCCUUUAAAUUUCCACUUAGAGGGCGCUUCAGUAAAGCGGCCCUCUAAACCCUAAAAAGUUUCCACUUUAGAGGGCGGUUUCUAGUAAAAGCGCCUCUAAAACCUUAAAUGUUUCCACUUUUAGAGGGCGCUUUCUUUAAAAAGCUCCCUCUAAAGUGGCCCAUAAAGGGCUUAAAGAGCCACUUUAGACAGCGCUUUCACCAGGAAAAAAAGUGUUGUCUUUACUAUGCCAGCGCCAGAUUAGAGGGCGCUUUAAAGCGCUGUUAUAGGCCAAAAAAGCGCCCUCUUUUCCUUAUUUGGCGUAGUGGUCUAAUUUUUAGGCCCGCCGAUCCUCCACUAUCACCGCCCCGCCUCGUCCCGUUUUUUUGCGGGAUUUUACGGACGGACAUAAACGGGACGAUAUGCCCGUUUGCCACAUUACGCACUACUGAUACAAUAAUAUAUAAUAUAAGAUCAUUGUCUAAUUUCUCAUAACUGUCAAACGAAUAUAUACAACAAAUUACCCAAACUACCCAAACUACAUGCCUAAAGAUUAAGAUAUAUUGAUGAGGAAGUUACGUAUGAGAUAUGUUAUUAAAAUAUAACAUUCUAGGAGCUACGUAUUUUGUCAGCUAAUGACAUAGUCAAUUACAUCAGUUAAUUGUUGUUAAUAAUUACAUACUAAAAACAACAGUUAAUUAUUAACACAUAAAAAGGACUGCAUGAUGCAAACACAACUGUCAUGGUAAGUUAAUCAUGCAAAAGGGGACAAACCAAUCACUCUCAUGAUUUUUAUGGAAAUUGUCUUCUUUGUGAAAACACACUAUAAAAAAUGUGUUUUAUUACGAGGAUUUCAAUCCCAAAAAAUUGUAUUACCGGAGUUUUUGAAAACCGCCGUUAUACCCACCGUUCCCAAAUAUAUUCGCAAGAAUUUUAGGUAAACCGCUUGAUAUCCUAUUUAAACUGGAGAAAUUUAUAUUUUGAAGGUCGAAAACUCUUGUAAAUUAUUAUUAAUGUGAAAAAAAAUAACAACUCUUUAGAUUUCAUUUGGAAAUAUAAUUAUGACAAAAUCAAAUGAUAUGUAUAUAAAAAUUACGCUGAUACAACUGAAAAUUCUUAAUGGCCAAAAUAAAAUAUAAUCCUAAAUAAAGAACAAUUAAACAUUCCAAGAUGAAACAAAUCAUACUCAACAUAACUUUACAACAUAUCAAGUAUUAAGUAUAUGUAAUAUCUUAUUAUUUCAUAAAGAAAACUCUAGUUCCAAGAAGUUUACAAUGAUCGUUUUUUUAUACAUCAUAAAAAACGUCAUUAUAAAGAGUUUGCAAAGAAAACGCAACCAUUGGAAAAUAAGAAUUUAAAAUUUUCCAUUUCUAAAAUAAUAAAAGUUAUACUAUAAUAGGAAGCUCCAAUUAGAUUAUUAAAUAUAAGUAAACUUCAUUGCUGGUGGCAACUCCUGGUUCUUGUUCCUUUACUCUGGAAGAAUGUUUCUUUACAGAUGAAGUUUCUAAGUAUCACUUGUAAUGCUUAACAUAUAUUAUCAAAGAAAAAUAAAUAAAUAAAUAUUUCAAUUGCCUUAUUUUAUUUUAUUACCAAUAUUUUAAAGUAAAAGUCUUACAUGUAUGGUCUUCUGAAAUUUUGUAAAAAAAAUAAAGUAUACUUAUUAUGGUUAGUUACAACAAUUCUUGGCAACUAGGAAUAUUUUAUUAUAAAGUUGUGUAAGAACUCAUUUUUUNNNNNNNNNNNNNNNNNNNNNNNCUAUAAUUUUAUCCUUUUUACCAAUAUCUUUAAAGUACAGAGAAUCUUACUAUGUAUGUCUCGCAUACCAAUUAUUCGUAACAAAAAUAGAAAGGUAGGUGGUUACUAAUUUAUGGUUAGAUUACAACAAUAUUCACUUGGCCACUAGCGCAAUAUUCAUUUAUAAUAGUUGGGUGCUAAGAAACUCAGUUUGGUUGGGCACUUAUAUUGACGCCCAACUUACUUCUUUACCAUAGAAAUUCGACAUAGGAUUGUCAGAGCUGCACGUGUCGCAGAGGGGUGUUGUAAUACGAUUUAAUUAAUAUAGGAAUAUCGUCUAUCUUGUAUCAUACAAUUAUCAAAUCUAUUUUCGAACCAUUCAACUAUUUACUGUAAUAAAAUUGAACCAAGAUAACAGAAUAAUAUUAAUAACUUUAACCAAUAAAAAAAUUGAGGUUUCUAUGUAAAAAAAUAUAAAGCUCAUAAAUUUAAAAGGUUACGAAAAUGAUCCAUAGCUGCAAAUGUUGUCUUAUUCAAUUACACCAAAAUCACAGAGCUCAGAUGAAAAUCAUAAACAACCAUGGAACAAUAUUUCGAGAGAGUAUUAGAUUCUCUCUCUCUCUUUCUUUUUCAUGUAUUGACCCCAACUUCUUUCUUUCCUAGAAAUCGACAUAGAUUGUCAAUGCACUUCACGAUGUGAGAUUUAUUAAUAUUAGGAAACGUUUCUUGACAAAAUUCAUCUGUUUCGCAUUCAACUUUUACUGUAAUAAAAUAACAAAAUAAAGAAUAAUAUUAAUAGAAAAAAUAAAAAAUUGAGUUCAAAGUAAAAAAAAUAAAGCUCAAAAUUUAAAAAGGUUAGAAAAAUAUCUUACUGCAAAUGUUUCUUUCAAUAAAAAAUACAGAAAUCAAUAAAAUCAUAAAAUGAACAAUAUUGAGAAAUUUAGUCAUAUUUUCUCUUUUUGCAUGUUAUAGUUAUAAUAUGAUAUGAUCAAUUUAUAGUGUAUAAUCUUAUCCUAAGUUAAAAUAAAUUAAUUAUCUUUAGCCCUUGAGAAAUAGGGAAAAACAUCAUUAAAUUGCUAAUGUGUAUAUUUUUAUUAGAUUAAUGUGUUAUGUUUGUCCUUUGACACAUUAAAGAGUAACAUGCAAAACUUUCUUAUCAUUAGAAUUCACUCUUCUUAAAUUAAUAGAGAAAUAAUAUUUUAUUUAUUUCUAAAAUAGUUACAAACGCAUAGUUUACCGAUAGUUAAACUUAUUGUAAGUUUUUUUUUAAAGAUAAAAUCAUUUGAUUUUAGGAAAUGAAUAUUAAAUUUUGUAGUUAUUUGAUUUUAGGGUUGGAGAAUUCGUGUGGUUCAAUUCGAUAAGAAUUAGUCCAAUUCAAAAUUUGACUCGAGUUCAACCCGAUUUUUUUAAAGGUUAAAUUCACGAAUAAUUUAUUUCAAUUCGAUAGGUUCAACUUCCUGCUCUACAGAUUAAAAAUCCAUUUUUUUAAAUCUAUUUUUCAUUUAUAUUUGACAUUUUAAAUUAAUAAUUUUUGUAAAAGAAAAAUAUUUAAAUAUAAUAAAAAUUAUAAGAUUAAAAUUUAACUUUUUCUCAAAAAUCCUUAAUGUUUUUAUUUAUAAGAAGAAUUUUAUUAAAUUAAAAAUUUUAAUUUUUAAUUACUCUAUACAAUUUUUUUUUACAUGAUGAUGAAUUUAUUUGUAUAAUUAUUUUAAAUAUAUUUUGUUCACUUGGGAAUAUAAAUGAUCAAUUAAAACCGUCAAAUUAAAAGAAAAAUUAGAAGAUUUAUAGUAAGGUUUUAAGCAUAUUCUUAGAGUCAAUAUAAUUUAUCUCAUAUAUAAUCGAGUUGAUUCAUGAACCUAAUGACUUGAGUUAUACAUAGUUCAAAUCUACCUCAUUUAAUUAAGAAACUUAAUUUUUUGUUCAUAUUCAGCUCAUUUAGUUCAUGAACCUAGUUCAAUGAUUUAGUUUUCGAAUUGAAUUUUGAAUUAUGUUUGAAUUUGUCUAGUUCAUUGAUAGCUCUAUUUGAUUUCGUAACAUUAUCAUUCACAUAAAUCUUGUAAUAACCCAUAUAAUAUAUAUCUAGAAUAAUAUCAUACAAGUUUUAUUAUUUUUUUGGUACUAUCACAACAUAAGUGCCUAACGACAUCUUUAUAUACAUGCCCAUAAAAUAAAAUACAACAUAUGGAACAUGUCAUGCGAUAGUGCCUAAAUAAAGAUCUAAGAACUAUGUAUAAUAUCUACAAUUAUACAAAUCUACUGUAGAAGAUCAUAAUAAAAUCUUUCCUUGAAACAUCAAUGCACAACUCCUCUUGUACAAUAUAUCCUAUAAACAAUACCUGGAAAAAAACAAUAAUAUUGGGGUGAGAUAAUAAUCUCAGUGAGUUCUUCUAUCUUAUGGGUUCACUCGACUCUAUAGAGUUUUCUAAUCGAUUUCCUAACUCAAGUCACAAAGGGGGAAAUCUGGAGUUCCCAAAACUCGCAAUGUAUAGAAAUACGCCUCUUGAGUUCAUCGACUCAAACAAUCACUAAUCAAAAACCAUUACAAGGUAUCUUCCCCCGUCCAACCCUACGUCUAGGAUUAUCGACAUGGAUCAUGAAUCCUUGUAUAUACUUUGAAAUACGCACAGACUUCGAAUUCUAAGUGAUCACAUCCACUUCAAGAAUCGUCGCUUCCUGUGGGACUCAAAACUCAUUUCAAAACUUUUACUCGUAUGGGACUCAUCCCACUUUGGGAUCUACCGCCUUUGGGACUCACGCCCAGGUCAUAAGUAUUGGUGUGUACGUCCCAAUUCUUACUAUAUAUGAGCAUCACAACUUGGGACAACACAAUCAACGGGUUAUUUCUGACUAUGUGACAAGAUAGAAAUACAACGUAAUUGUAUUCAAAAAUCACAAGGUAAUCACGUUCAUCUUCAUCACACAACAACACAACAUGUUCCAUACAAUGCAUCCCACUCUCAACUAUGGCAACGAUCCAUCCAUGACACUCAACUAGGUAUCAUAUAGAAUAAACGCCGCCAUCUAACGUUAUUUAUGCCAUAUGUCUAACUUCUUAACCUAAUUAGAACUCUAGGUUAACUCACAUUAUUCAUCAUGUUUCUCUCUCAUAUAUUGUUGAUUUAAUACAUACAUAUCAUAACAUAUGUCAUAAGGCACACAUAUGGAAAAGAUAGCAUAUUCCAUUUAUCCCAAACAAAAUGCAAUAAAUUACCAUGAUCAUAUAAAGCUUUAAACAAGCUUUCUAAUGCAUUUGACCGCACAUCGAACAGAUUUAUGAAACUCAAGUUAUGCCACAAACAAUGCAGAGGAAUAACACAAAAACCAGUUAACCGUGCUAAGCGCCAUCUGAGCAUGCUAUUGUGAUUUGAGAAUGUUAUCUGGAGAAUUGUGUCACCCUUUUUGAGUAUUUUAUUCUGCAUAUUUUAUAAAUUAAAUGUCUGGGGUUUAUGGUUUUACAACCAGACCCCAACCAUAUACAAUUGAUCAAAGUAUUUCAUUUCCCUUAAGCGGUGAGCGAUCGUCCUCUUGAUUUCCGUAACGUCGUUGGCUCCUUUUCUUCAAACAAUAAUCGAAUUUGUUUCUUAGUCUAAUAAUCGAAAUCUUUCAAAUAUAUAUUCAAAUAAACAAAAAAGUAUUUGGACAAAUAAUCAAAUAAUGCAAGCACAAAUAAACCUUCGACAUCAUAUAUCAGACCUAUAGCAACUUAUUAAGCUAAUGAUAACAGUCCUAAAGUAUCUUAAAUUAUUUUAUGCUAACCGUCCAAACGUAUAUAGAUAUUUUCCCCAUAUUUUGUUGUUAAGCAUUGUUGAAAGUCCACGACCGCUUCCUCCGAUCUUUGACUAGAACUUAAUUUCAAUAACCGUUGAAUUGUACAAAAUUUAUAAAAUAAUUAUAAUAUAAUUUACGCAGAAUUUCAUAAACUUGUUAUUACUUGAAAUAUUUACUUUAAAAUAUUUAAUAGUAACCUCCACUAUAUUUGAAUAAUUAUUAAACUCAAAUAUAAAUUAGACUAUAGCCUGUUUGGAUUUGUUGAUUUUAGAAAAUUAUCAAGAGUAUAUUUCUAAUAACCUUUUAAUUUUAUAAUAACACUUGAGCAUUAUAAUGACUUAAAAUGGUAAAAUUUAUCUUUUAUUAGGAUAUCAAUUUGGACUUUAUAAGUUCAAUACCUCUAUGCUGAAUGGAAAUUUAAAUAGAAAAUUUAAAAUAACCUUAUAUGAAUAAAAUAAUUAAAUUAAUAUAAUUAAAAUAAAAUGGACAUUAUAACGACUUACUAGUUACUUAUGAAAAUAAUUGUGGCGGCAAUGAAGCGUAUAAAAUCAAACUCCUUUGAAAUUUUAGAAGCAUUUUGACCAUAUAAUAGCUCUAAAAGCUAUGAACCAAUACUGUGAAAACCUCGAUAACAAAAACUAAUAUCGUUGUAUGAAGAAAAAAAAAUAGAGUGGUGAGAGAAAUGAAUUCUGAAUGGAUAAAUGAAAAUGGGGUGGAAUAAACCCUUAUAUAUACUAGUUGUAAGAUUUAUAUAUAUAUAUAUAAUAUAUAAUAUUAUAUAUAUAUAUAUAUAUAUAUUAUAUAUAUAAAUAUAUAUAUAUAUAUAUAUUAUAUUGAGAUUAAUUCUAUACGAUAAAAAGUUUACACCGUCGGUUCAUCACCAUCACCUGUUUGUAUUACUUUAUAGAUUUUUAAAUAAAAGUCAAACUUCUUUUAAUAUUCACGUCUAUAAUUAAGUGAUGGUGUAAAACUUUUUUACACCUGACAGUGAUUUCAAUUAAUAUCUCUCAUCUCUCUCCUCUCUCUCUUUUCUCUCGUCUCCUUCUCUCUCUCUCUCUCUCUCUCUCUCUCUCUCUCUCUCUGAUGGUUAUAAUUUGAUUUAAUGCUUGUAUUUUUUAAAUCUACACUUUUUUUACUAAUCCAUUCUGAAAAGUUAUUAAUACUUUGCAGAAUAAACUAAAAGAGAAAGAAGUGUUGGUUGAAGAAUUAUAAGCAUUGAACUAAAUUCUAACUGUUAAAGGAGAUACAGAUAAUGGAUUGUAGAAAGAUCGAAAAACAUUUAUUAAUGUAACUUGUUCUUCUAAUAUUACUCAAUUUAUUAUUUUAUUAAUAUCUAAUUAGAGUGAAAGGUUAUAUGUUUAUUGAGAAUUUAAUGAAAUAAGAAUUUCACAUAUUUUACGAUCAGACUUUAUAAAAAAACCUGUAAAACAAACAAAGAGUAAGCACGGAAUAAAGAAAGUCAGAGUAUAAAGAAAGAAAUACAUCAUAAGUAAAUAAGUGGUAAAAUGUAAACAAAAAAGGAUACAAAAAGAUGCACUAUAGGUUUAUAGAGGUUCGACUUAAUCACUUGACUUACUCAUCUCCUUGAAAAUUUCUUCAUGAGAGUUUAAAACCAGAGUUUAGAAAAAGUUUGUAGAACAAAAAUGAAAUAAGCAGUGGAAUAUAGAAAAUCGGAAUAGAAAGAAAGACAUACAUGAAAAGUAAAUUAAUUACUAAAAUAUAAAUAAAUAAGGGUAGAGAAAGAUGCACCAGCACUUUAUAGAGGUUCGACUUAACCACUUGACCUACUCAUCUCCCCGAAAAUUUCUUCUUGAGAGUUUCCACUGUGUUGUGAGGUUUUUACAAGUUUUUCCCACGAAUCUCCUUAAAAACAAACUUGAGUUUUAAAAUGGAUAAUCUCUAAACUAAACUUAGAAUUUUUUCCCACGAGAUGUUGUACAAGAUUAAUCCCAAACAAGAUGAGAGUUUUUAUACCAAGCGUAGCUCAGAAACCAAGUGGAGGUUUUAACGAAUAGGUGAAGCUCACGAACUAUGUGGAUAUUUCAACAGACAAUCUCUUGAAUCAAACAAGAGCUUUUACAAUAGGAAAAGUUCAAGAACAAAAAGUGAUAUUUGAACGGACAAUCCCAUAAACUAAACAAGAGCUUUUUAACUUGGUUUUGAUCAUAAUCAAACUAAAAAUAUCACAAGAAAUAUUACAAAAUUACCCUCACAUCCGAACCAAAUAACUCACAUGUAAAUUUCACUCUCAAAUCACUACGGUAAAAGCGAGGAAGAACUAAAGAGAGAGAAGAGAGUGAAUAAUGAGAAGGAGUGGUCAAAAUACAUUUUAUAGUAUGUAAGAAAUGAGAAAUCAUCCUUCUAUUUAUAGGACAAAGUGUGAUACAAAAAUGUAAAGAAUUCAUGGACUUUUUAAUAUUCACAACCAAUAAUGCAUAUGACAUAAUCGAUUAUGCAAUUCAAAUAUUUAAUGUUUUUAAAUGACACUUUCACUUAUCAAUUGUAGCUCCGUCUAAUCGAUUAGGGUUACAUAAGUGAUAAUUGAUUAAUCAAGUGUGAUAAUCAAUUAUGUCAUGUAAAAAUCCUCUUAGUGUGAUAAUCAAAAAGGUUUUCAAGUAGUUUUACUAAAACCGGAGAGGAUUUUCGAUCAUUCAAACGGUGUAAUCGAGCUACUGAAACAAAAAAGAUAUAAUAUAAGAUCAUUGUCUAAUUUCUCAUAGACUGUCAAAGGAAUGUAUACAACAAAUUUCCCAAACUACAUGCCUAAAGAUUAAGAGAUACCUAUGUUGUCAGCUAAUGACAUAGUCAAUUACAUCAGUUAAUUAUUAACACAAUAAAAAUGGAACUGCAUGGUGCAAACACAACUGUCAUGCUAAGUUAAUCAUGCAAAAGGGUGACAAACCAAUCACUGCUCAUGAUUUUUUAUGGAAAAUUGUCUUCUUUGUGAAAAGACACUAUAAAAAAUGUGUUUGAUUACGAGGAUUUUCAAUCCCAAAAAAUUGUAUUACGGGAGUUUUGAAAACCGCCGCUAAUACAGGUCCCAAAUAUAUUCGCAAGGAUUUUAGGUAACCGCUGAUAUCCUAUUUAAACCGGAGAAAUUUUUAUUUUGAAGACUCUUGUAAAUUAUUAUUAGUGUGACAAAAAAUAACAACUCAUUAGAUUUCAUUGGAAGUAUAAUUAUGAUAAAAUCAAAUGAUAUGUAUAUUAAAAUUAUGCUGAUACAACUGAAAAUUCUUAAUCGCCAAAAUAAAAUAUUAUCCUAAAUAAAGAACAUUAAACAUUCCAAGAAUGAAACAAAUCAUACUCAACAUAACUUUACAACAUAUCAAGUAUUAAGUAUUAUGUAAUAUCUUAUUAUUUCAUGAAAGAAAACUCUAGUUCCAAGAAGUUAUAAUGAUCGUUUUUUAUUACAUCAUAAAAGAAACGUCAUUAUAAAGAGUUUGCAAAGAAAAGCUACAUGAAUAAAUGAAUUUUUCCAUUUCUAAAAUAAUAAAAGUUAUUACUAUAAUAGGAAGCUCCAAUUAGAUUAUAAAAUAUAAGUAAACUUUCAUUGCUGGUUGCAACUCCUGGUUCUUGUUCCUUUACUCUGGAAGAAUGUUCUUUACAGAUGAAGUUUCUAAGAUCACUUGUAAUGCUUAACAUAUAUUAUCAAAGAAAAAUAAAUAAAUAAAUAUUUCAAUUGCCUUAUUUUAUUUUAUUACCAAUAUUUUAAAGUACAAAGUCUUACAUGUAUGGUCUCUGAAAUUUUGUAAAGAAAAAUAAAAAGUAUACUUAUUAUGGUUAGUACAACAAUUCAUUGGCAACUAAGGAAUAUUUUAUUAUAAAGUUGUGUAAGAACUCAUUUUUCAUGUAUUGACCCCAACUUCUUUCUUUCCUAGAAAUUGACAUAGAUUGUCAAUGCACUUCACGAUGUGAGAUUUAUUAAUAUUAGGAAACGUUUCUUGACAAAAUUCAUCUGUUUCGCAUUCAACGUUUACUGUAAUAAAAUAACAAAAUAAAGAAUAAUAUUAAUAGAAAAAAUAAAAAAUUGAGUUCAAAGUAAAGAAGGUAAAGAUCAAAAUUUGAAAAG
rnacentral:lncRNA from 1 species